rnacentral:rRNA from 1 species
GUCUACAGCCAUACCACCCUGAAUGGCCUGAUUGUAUAUGAUCUUAGAAGCAAAACAGGGUCGAUCCUGGUUAGUAUCUGGGUGGGAAAAAUUAGGACCUCAGUUGAGU